rnacentral:tRNA from 1 species
GCAUUGGUGGUUCACUGGUAGAAUUCUUACCUUCCAUGCAAGAGUGCUGGGUUUGAUUCCUGGCCAAUGCA